rnacentral:lncRNA from 1 species
AGUGCCUCAAGUAGUUGGCUCCUUUCCCAUCGGCUACUUUGUAACUGCGAAUAUGACAACAUGACGGUGAUUCACAGAUGCCAAAAUAUGACGAGCAGAGCAAAUCUGUGUUCCAGAUAUGAUAAGGUGAGAAAAGCGGAACUCUCGGCCCCAGGUGAUUUCCAUGAAGACACCUACAUACGGCGGGCCUCACUAUCUGUACCAUGCAGCCGCCAACUCUAAUAACCCGGCCAGGAGAGAAACACAUC